rnacentral:lncRNA from 1 species
AAAGGGCAGGUGUCCCGAUGCUCACCCUCCCACACAAUAUUCAUAAUAUUUAGAUAAUAUUAAUUUAUACCUAAACUAAUAGUGAGUGGGGCAAGAGAAAGAAGGAGAAAAAACAAAUACAAGAGAACUAAAUGAAACUUAACUGUCAAAUGAGGAAAAGCAAUCUGGGGCCGUGGAGAGGGCUCAGAAAGUGGAGCUGUUUGCUGCCAAUUCUGUGGACCCGAGUUUAGUCCAUGGGAUGCACACAGUGGAAGGAACAAGCCAACUCCCAAAAGUUGUCUCCUGACCUCCACUUAUGUACCAUAAUAUUGGUGCACAUAUAUCUGCAUGCAAUACAUAAGUAAGCACUAUAAAAAGUUUUUAAAAACUGGAAGAAAAUACAGACUUUAAGGCAAAAAUAAUUUACUACACAGAGAUUGUGUGUAGUAUAUAAUUGAACAAAAUGAUUACUACACAGAGAUAAUAAAACAAUCUUGAUUAAAGUUUCAACUCAAUUAAAGUAUAUACUAAUUCUAAAUUCAUUUGCAUUUAAUAGUCUCAAAGUAGAUCGUGAAUUCUUGGCCAGUAAAUUGACAAUUUACCAUUGUAGUCGGAGAUCAAAAUGUUAUGGGGUCUGCUUAAAUCCAACUCGACUCAAACACCAGAUCAAUGCAAAGGACAAAACUGUGUCGUGACCAAGCUGCUACUGAUUGACCAGGGCUGCAGGACAGACUUGGGAGCUGAACUGUGACCUGGAGCCAGAGUGCUACAGAGCUUUAAAGCUUGAAAAUCACCAACAUCUGGGCCAAGUUACAGUUACAUUUUCCACCAAUCAGGAUUUAGGGACAGUGGAUUUCCUUAGGAACUUGUCUUUGUGCUACACUUAUCCUGUUCCCAUUGGUUGGGCUAUUCAACUAUGGCAGGACCACUAACCUAACAUUCAUGUCUGAACUUGUCAACCAGGAUGUCAGUUACCUAUGUGUAUCUCUCUCUGCCAAACAGGAUGACAGGCACCCAGUACCCAGUACCCAGGGAGGUCUUGGGAACUUAAAUUUUAUUUGACUCCUAUUUAAAAUGAAAGUUUUACUUAAAAUGGCUUCAUUUUGGUUCCUUCUUAGAAAAAUAAAUAUUUUUUGAGGCUGGAAAGAUGGCUUAGUGGUUAUGAGCACUGGCUGCUUUUCCAGGGAGCCUGAGUUUUGUUUCCCAACACACGUGGUUCUUCACAACCAUCUGUAACUUCAGCUCCAGAGGAUCCAGCAACUUUUUCUACCCUCCACCAGCACUGCACACACAGACAUACGUGCAGGCAAAGCACCCACACAC